UGAAAAACAGGGGUUUAAACCCUGGAUCUUUGGUUUACAAGACCAACACCUUACCACUUGGCCAC
rnacentral:tRNA from 1 species